rnacentral:rRNA from 1 species
CCGUGGGUGUAGGAAUAUUGAAAGGAUCUGUCCCUAGUACGAGAGGACCGGGAUGGACGGAUCUCUGGUGGACCUGUUGUGGCGCCAGCCGCAUAGCAGGGUAGCUAUAUCCGGACGGGAUAACCGCUGAAGGCAUCUAAGCGGGAAACCCACCUUAAAACGAGUAUUCCCUGAGAACCGUGGAAGACGACCACGUUGAUAGGCCGGGUGUGGAAGAGCGGCAACGCUUGAAGCUUACCGGUACUAAUAGUUCGAUCGGCUUGAUCGU